GGGGGACAGGCUUGACUUGGAAUAGAAUCCCUCUGACCUCUUUCCUUUAUCUUUUGCACUUCUUCAUAAGACACAAACUUCGGUCGCCUGCAGACCUUUCUUUUUGUUUUAGAAGAGGUGUUUAUCUGGAUCAUUUCUUUAAAAUUGAGUUGGUAAUAAUACAAGCCAGCUUGGAAUUGUAUAGUGGUAUCUGGAUCUGCCAAAUACAAAUUCUCAAGUAUGUCAGAAGAUGGUGAAUUCACAAUACCC
rnacentral:lncRNA from 1 species